UGUUUUGUAGUAUAAUGGUUAAGGAGCUGGUCUUCCAGCCCAGGGGUGGUGGGUUCGAUUCCCAGAAGGGUAC